rnacentral:lncRNA from 1 species
GCAAAGGGUUGGAAUCCUGGUCCAUCCUCCUCGGAGGGGGAGGGCUGGGGUGUGGACAUCUCAGGCAGGUCACUCAGGAGCUAGCAUGAACAGGGUGGGAGGGACCGGCAGGGUGGGGUUGGGGACGCUGCUGCGGGGACUUAGAUUGCACGGCAGGUGUUAAGUAGAGAGGCAGGACCAGCUGGUUCCGAGGAGAGGCUGAGAAUGACAGACACCGACCGGUCCGGCAGGACUGCCCAGUGGCCGGAGAGAAGGCACCAAGCAGGAAGCCAAAGAUGGACGAGAGAUGGGACACCUUGGAAAAAUCAGCCCCUCUCCUCUACUUCCAGGAUAUAAUGAGAAUUAUCUUCCACACUUUUCCACCCAUCCCUCCCACCCAUCAAGGACUUCUCCAAACUCUGAGGCUCCUGGAGGGGGCUCAUCGGCAGGGGCUCUGCGCCCGCCGA